rnacentral:lncRNA from 1 species
CUUCCAUACACUUACACCAGCAAUCAUUUCUCUAUUUUACUCAAACCACAUAAUUUCUCAUUAAUGGAGAGAAAAUGUUAAAAUGUUAUUUAAAGAAAAUAUUUGAAAGUCAUUGAAGUAACGUAGUUUUAAUUACAUGUCUAAUUUUAUGUAAUAGCUGUGUGUCAGACUGGAAGUUAUCACAAUGUCUGUAAGUAGUGUAUAGCAUUAAGACACAUAUAAAUGACUUUGAUAGCUUGCUGAGUACUGGUGACUAGAAGGGAAAAAAUUUGCAAUUUAGCAUGCCCCAGAACUCCAAACAAUCUAUGAAGCUUAGAGGGAAUUUUUUUCCAGAAUUAUAACAAGCUGGGAUUGUGACACCCACUUUAUAAAAUGUUAAUUCAAAAAGUUUCACUUAUAGGAAAUUAUAUGGCUGAGAGAUGUAUUUCUUCUGAUGGUUUCCUACCUGUGAAAUGUUAGAGGAUGAUGAGAGACUGCUCAUAAGAAAAGUUCAGCAGAUGGAAUGAAGUCUGCAGAUUGUCCAAAAAACGGAUUGGAGCCAGGCCAUUGAAAAUCUCAAAGCACAGAAGAAAACUUUCAUGUGGUGACAUCUUAUUGACAGCAGCAUUUGUGUCUUACUUUGGAACCUGCAUAAAACAACAUCACCAGGACCCAAAGGGACAUUUCUGGAUUACUUCUCUAAAGAAGGCCUGGACCCAGUUCACCACAUUGAGGGAUGAUGCUACGGCUGUGGCAUGGAGUAAGGAUGGUGAUAGGAUGUCAACAGAUAACACCACUCUUCUAACAAACUGUGCCCUUCAUAUGCUGUCAUCAAGUGAUGGGGAGGAAAUGAAGUGAAGGUUGAUGUGCACUUCUUGUGUGGGUCAAACGACCUUUUCAACAGGUAAGGUGCAAAGCCUGAUGGUAAAACCUUACUUAUACUCUACAGUUUCGUCAGCAG